rnacentral:rRNA from 1 species
AGGACCCGUCUUGAAACACGGACCAAGGAGUCUAACAUGUGCGCGAGUCAUUGGGACUGCAAAGCCUAAAGGCGCAAUGAAAGUGAAGGUCGAUCUCAGCGUCGACCGAGGGAGGAUGGCUCGCGUCAAGAUGCGAGUCCGCACUCCCGGGGCGUCUCGUGCUCAUUACGAGCAGAGGCGCACCCAGAGCGUACACGUUGGGACCCGAAAGAUGGUGAACUAUGCCUGGUCAGGACGAAGUCAGGGGAAACCCUGAUGGAGGUCCGUAGCGAUUCUGACGUGCAAAUCGAUCGUCGGAACUGGGUAUAGGGGCGAAAGACUAAUCGAACCAUCUAGUAGCUGGUUCCCUCCGAAGUUUCCCUCAGGAUAGCUGGCACUCGCGUGAGCGAGUCUCAUCUGGUAAAGCGAAUGAUUAGAGGCCUUGGGGCCGAAACGACCUCAACCUAUUCUCAAACUUUAAAUGGGUGAGAUCUCUGGCUUGCUUGAACGUUGAAGCCACGAGAUAUCAUGGAUCAGAGUGCCAAGUGGGCCAAUUUUGGUAAGCAGAACUGGGCGCUGUGGG